AUUUAAACUGAGUCCGUUUUUGUAAACUGAGCACUGAGUUGUGGGUGUGUGUAUUAAAUGGAAGUGGGGAGGAGGUAAAUAACUCUAUAAAGUGAUGUACUAUGAUGACACCUGUCCACAUUUCCUUAUCCACAUGCCCCUCACAUUUUGGAAAGCAACAAGCCCUCACUGAUCAGGUAAAUGUAUGACAGAUCAAAACGUCAUUAACACUGGGUAGAAGCUGUAAUUUUGGUGAAUAAUUCUGUAAAAUCCAAAAUGUUAAUGGGUUAGUACUAUGCAGAGUUUUGUGUAAUUGAUCAAAUUUAUUUUAAUAGACUAACCUUAGUAAACUUGAUUUUUUCAUCAUCGGUUUAUUUAUUUGUUGUGUUUUAGAAGCCAUGGUACAGUUCAUUAAUCUGUUUAUGCUACUGGUCUUUUGGCAAGCACUUUUAUCCAAAGAAACUUACAAGGUACAAGGCAAAGACAGGGUAAGGAGGUCUUGCCAAGGACCCCUUACUGGAGAAACAAUCAUUAUAACGUUACCUAAAGAUAUCAAGGUCACAUUCUCUCCAACGUGGCUACCUGUAAUUCCAUCUAUGAUCAAAAAUGCUCACUGCAAAGUUUUAUUGUGCUGUGAAGCUCCAAACAACAAUUUCUUUCUGUGGGUGAAUGGAGAAGAUGGUUGUAAACAGUCAUUUCUCAAAGGUGUUACAUUUUCACAAGGUCAAAACAAUAUGGAUGUGUGUAUAAAAGAGGGCUGUAAGCAAAACUGUACUGUCAAUCAGAACUGCCAGUACUUCACAUAUAAUAAAAGCAUCAAAAACUGUUUGGUGAUGCUAAAGAAAAAAAAAAAAUUCUGA
rnacentral:lncRNA from 1 species